ACCGUUUAGUCCACCCAUCAGGCCUCCACACCCCACAGCUCUGAAUAAACUGCUUCACCAGCUCAUGGUCCUCACGCAGAGCAACAGUGUUGGUGUGUGAGCAGAGUGCAGCAUCUGCCAUCUUCAGUUCCAAGGAGACAGACACACCUUCAGACGGCCGAUACACAAACGCCACAAAGGUCCUGGUGGCCAGAGCAUUACCAAAGCAAACAUGACCCAUUCAUCAUCAUCACCCGUCGAAAACCAGCAAACAGUUCUCACAAACACAUCCCAGGCCUGCUGAGCUAGAUUUUAGAGAGGCCUGCGGGAAUGAUGCCCUCUAUGAGCAGCGAGCUGCCUCCACUCCAGGCAUCUUCAGGGCAGCCUCGGGUCCUC